AAUCCAAUUAUGGAAGUAGGGCUCCGAAGGAGAAGAGGAGUAGCAUCCGUUUACCAGGCUUUGCUCUCUCCUACGACUCCCUCAAGCCUGCUACCUACGACUUCCUUGGGCGAGAAAUCGGACGAAAGAACUUUCUUUGCUCUCUUACUUAGCGCAAGCACUAAGAAAGUUGACUACCUUAGUUGCUGCUUGCUUUCCGCGAGUAAAAAGCUUGACCAUCGAUGAGGCAAUUCACAUUGUGUUCGUAUAGUGACUAAAGUCAAUCAAAAUCAUUCUCCCCAUUGGCCCCGUAUUUUUGAUUAAACCUCUUCUUACCUUAUUCUUGACCACUAUUAGCACAGCUUCGAAAAUCGUUAUCUUUUAUUCGCCUAUACCUAUAUGUGACAAAUGAAUAAAAAAGAAACGAUCGAAGGGAGACGAAGAUAAGGCUUGGUGGCUUGGAAGGAAAGACUAGCUAACAAGCGAAGGCACUGAAAGUGAGCCCCUAUCGUGUUCCUGCUCCAACUCCUAUAUCAGAAGCUACAUAUGCUCUGACAAGACGCUUUCUAUUCUCUAGAGCUCUCCUUUUAUUAUUCCUACAGCUACUCUUAGUCCUCCCAUUAACUACAGCCAAGACUCCGCCUCUAUACCCUAUGCCCCCGUUCGUUUGUCAUUUUUAAUCGUUGAUUGCUUGUGGUGAUUGCCGUUCCUUUAGUUUGUGUUAUACAGGUUUCCUUCCUUCAGGUGUGCUGUCAGGCAAGGGAGGACGAGGACAGGAGUCCAACCCGAAAGUACAACAAGGAUCAAAGAACGUCUUAAAGCUCGCCUCUAUGCUUUCUUAAAAAGUAAGUAAAUCGGACUACGCGGGGGAAAACGAUCUUAUUGGAAUUUUUUGAAGCGGCUUUCGAGUGAGGGCAAUCGUCAUAGUCAGCCAGCGAGCAAUCCCAAGAAAGCGAGCUACCUAGUCUUUCUUAUUCCCAUCGCUAGCUUAACUUAAACUGAGGAAUAAGAAUAGGAAAAACAAACCUCCAAGCCCCUAUAAAGUAAGC
rnacentral:lncRNA from 1 species